rnacentral:lncRNA from 10 species
UGUGGACACUGACCUAGCUGGUCUCAAAGGCCUCUUUCAAUUUUAACAUUCCCCCAUUCCAUUGACUAACACAGAGAUACUUUUAUUGCAGAAGUGCUUCGGUCAGGCAGUAUCUUUGAAAAUAAUUUGGCCAAUGAAAGCCCUGGCAUUGGAUGAAAGUGCUAGCUGCUGGGAAUGCUACCCCUCCUUUUGGUUCUCUUUCAAGUCCUUCAGGUUCAAACAAUACAGAAGUGUAUAAAGUAAGAAUUGAAAGUCUCUUCGCUGCUCUAAUCUCACUCCUCAGAGGUGAUCACUGUGUGGAAGAUGAUCAAAGUAUGACAUUUCUUCUACCCCAGAGGCUGGCAUUUCUGCAGGCACAAAUGAGCUUGGUUUUCAAGCACUGCUCUUUGAACACAAGGAAUUCCUUUAAUGAUCACGCCGGACUAUAUAGACUUUGGAAUCAGACUCUUUGAAUUCCAGCUCUGCCAUUUACCAACUUUGACACUUUGGACAACGUCUCAUUCUGUCACCCAGGCUGGAGUGCAGUGGCACAAUUAUAGCUCACUGCAGCCUCAAACACCUGGGCUCAAGCAAUCCUUCCACCUCUGCCUCCUGAGUAAUUGGGACUACAGGCAUGUGCCACCACACCCAGCUAAUUUUUAAUUUUUAAUUUUUUUGUAGAGAUGGCGGUCUUGCUAUGUCACCCAGGCUGGUCUUGAACACCUGGCCUCAAGUGAUCCUCCGGCCUUGGUCUCUCAAAGCUCUGGGAUUACAGACAUGAGCCACUGCACCCGGCUCUAUCUCCCCUUCCUAUGUGUGUUAGCUCUAGAACAAGAGAAGCCUUGUUGAGAUUCCUGGCUGCCCACCCCCCAUCACCUCUCUGACUUUGGGCAAGUUGCCUGGCCUCUCUCAGCCUUUAUUUUCUUUUUGUGAAAUGGGGAUAAUAAUAGUACUUGCCUCAUAGGCAAAAUGUUGUGAGAACUAAACGAGAAAAUGCAUGUAAAGCACUUGGCACUUAGUUCUUUUUAUGAUUAUAAUGAUAAUCAGACACAAUAAAUUAUGUCUCACAUCACAUGCUGUUUAGCCUAUUCACUGUUCUAUUUUUCCUGAAGUCAGUUCAGUGUGUAGCAUCCAGAAUUGAACAAAACACCCCCGAUGUGACCUGAUAGUGCAAAGUAAACUAUCAUCUCCUUCAUUCUAGGUAUUAUGUUUCUAUUAAUGCAGUCUAAAGGUAGGAUAUGAGUUGUUUUGUUUAUGUAUCUUUUUUUUUUUUUUUUCAGGGAUGGGGAAUGACUAUCUCCAAUUAAACUUCUCAGUAAAAUCUCUCCUCUUGUGUGUUGUGCUUUAGUAUUUAGUUUUGGAUACUAGUGCAGGAUCUUAAAUUUAUCCCAUUACAUGUGAUUUCUUUAGUGUUAGUUCCUUUUCAAAUCUGUAUAAGCCAUUCAUUCAUUCAUUCAUUCAUUCAUUUUAGAAAGUCAAACAUAUAUUUAUCAUGAGCCAGCACAGUGCCAGUUAUUUGCCAUAUUCUAAGAUUUUAAACAUUCAUUGGCAUUUUAAUUGUGCAUGAUUUCUAUACCUUCAUCUGAAUUGUUGUGUAACAUAUUUGGAUAAUACAGAGCUAAGGGCACAGGCAAAGAAAUAUCUUUAGAAACUUUCCUCUAGGCUCACCAGCACCCUUAGGGCACUGUCAUUUAAAUAUUAUGAAUUAAUCUUGUGUGGUAUCAUUUGGUACAAAUUAUUUUCCAGCUUGACCAGCAAGAAAUCUUGAGACUUUCUCAGAAUUCUUGUUCAAGUCAAGAUUCCCUAUAUCUUUCUAGUCACCUAACUCAAUAUUCCUAUCAAAAUAAGAUGAAUCUGAUGAGAUUUUUUUUAAAAAGUGAAGUUAGGCUGGCUUGUUUCCUAAUGGGCUGAGAGGACAUAUUCCCAUUCCAGAAUUUUGAAGAAUCUAAGUGCACACAACACAGUGCCUAAAGCAUGUCAGCUGUCUGUUUCGGAUGCUCGUCCUACCACGUGUAGCAUGGCGAAGACAGGAGUCAGAGGUUGGGAAGUUUAGCUAGGUGAAAAAGUCUGCCCUAGGGCAUGCCCUUCCCACUACUGGAGAGCAGUUGCUUUACAUUUUAUUUUACCUAGCUUUUUGUAAAUAUUUCUCCCUUUCUGGGUUACUUGUGAUCAAGGGGCAUGGACUUACUCAUCUCUUAUAAUUCCAAUCAGUGCAUGACACAUCAUAGCUGAUCCUCAAUUAUGUUUUAAGUUAAUGUACUCAAGGUUUAUUUGUCAAUUGAAUGCCUAACCUAUUACAAUUAAGGAGAGAGAAUACUAUCCCCUUUCAGUCCAGGUGUAUGGCAAAUGGAGAUGUCUGUAGGUAUUAGGACAUCCCUAGAAACUUUCAGAAAGGCAUUGGAGGAAUGCCUCCUUAAACAGUAUGAAACUCCAGUGAUUAGCAAUGGAGUCUAAUGAAUGAGAAGCAGUAUAAUGGCUUUCUCAAAAUAUUGGGAAAUUCAUGAUCUUUUUCUCUCCUUUAUCAUUCCUAGGGUUUUGGAAAUCUGGAUUGUAGCAGGGCAUUGUGGAUCUGCCUGUUGGUGGAGAACCCUAGACUGCAUGCAGCCAUGCACAUGAUCUGGAGACACAGCAGAGACAAGGUCUUUGUCUGUUGCUCAGGAUGGAGUGUAGUGGUGCCAUAGCACACUGUAAUCUUGAAUUUCUGGACUACUGGCAUACACCACCAUGCUUAGGUUCGGGCCACAACAUCCGUGACUUUACCGGUUUUGGUCUCUUCCUUGUAACUUUCGGCUCCAGGAUGCUGCGCAGCUCCUCUCUGCACUAUCUAUCAGAACGUUGCUCUGCGUGCUUGAAAGUUUCGCCAAACAGAAGUACACAAAAACAAACAGAGGCGAAACACAAAUCCCCUCAGCCCUGGAGGAAAAGGCCUUGAAGCUCUUCCAGUGCAGAGGCCACGCAGAGGACAUGCUCCUACCUGUGCACAUCGGCCACGCCUGGGGUGCCUCCUGGAGUCCAGGCUGCUGGCGAUGGAAUCCAUCAUGUUGCUGAUGUCACUGUAAGUCGCAGCCCGCAGGCUGAGCUAUGGGGCAGUUUGAGGGGCCAGAAGUUUUCUCCUGGAUGUCAUCUUCAGCAUACCCAGGAACCAGAGAAAAUGUAAUUCUUCCCAUGCCCAUCUCACUCCUGCAGACUGGGGUCCCUCUUCAGUUUCUUUUUUUUUUUUUAAUCAUAAGCACAUAGGCUCUGGGACAUCAUGGAACCCAGAAGCAUGCUGAAAGGUGAAGCACAAGUCUAAAGUCUUGUUAGUUAUGAAAUCCAGCUCUCCUGGAUUAGGCAAGGGGAAAACCACAUAUUUAAGAUAUACUAGGGCA